rnacentral:rRNA from 1 species
GACGAACGCUGGCGGCGUGCUUAACACAUGCAAGUCGAGCGGAGCGGCGAACGGGUGAGUAACACGUGAGUAACUGCCUUAGACAUUGGGAUAGCCUCGGGAAACCGGGAUUAAUACCAAAUGGUCUAAGAUGACUCGCGUCCCAUUAGCUAGUUGGUGAGGUAACGGCCCACCAAGGCGACGAUGGGUAGCCGGCCUGAGAGGGUGAACGGCCACAUUGGACUGAGAAACGGUCCAAACUCCUACGGGAGGCAGCAGUGGGGAAUAUUGCACAAUGGAGGGAACUCUGAUGCAGCAACGCCGCGUGCGGGAUGACGGCCUUCGGGUUGUAAACCGCUUUCAGCCAUGACGCGGUAGUGGCAGAAGAAGCACCGGCUAACUACGUGCCAGCAGCCGCGGUAAUUC